rnacentral:rRNA from 1 species
UACGGAGGGAGCUAGCGUUGUUCGGAAUUACUGGGCGUAAAGCGCGCGUAGGCGGCUUUGUAAGUUAGAGGUGAAAGCCCGGAGCUCAACUCCGGAACUGCCUUUAAAACUGCAUGGCUUGAAUCCAGGAGAGGUGAGUGGAAUUCCGAGUGUAGAGGUGAAAUUCGUAGAUAUUCGGAAGAACACCAGUGGCGAAGGCGGCUCACUGGACUGGUAUUGACGCUGAGGUGCGAAAGCGUGGGGAGCAAACGGG